rnacentral:tRNA from 1 species
ACCGAAAUAGCUCAAUUGGAAGAGCGUAGACUAUAAAUCAAAAGGUCCCUGGUUCGAUCCCGGGAUUCGCCA